rnacentral:lncRNA from 1 species
UUUUUUGGCUUGACCAUGGGGGAAAAUCUUACCAUCAAUGCUCUUAUGAUAACCAAUAAAUGCAGUCUUUGUAAAGCCAUUGAGGAAUCAACAAACCAUGUAGUCAUCCAUUGCGAAAGAACUAGAAAGAUGUGGGAUUGAUUGUUAGCAAUCUUUAGGUUCAAUGGGUAUUUCCAAAAUCUAGUGUUAUUAAAGGCGAUCGCUUGGGUUGCCUAGGCCAUUAGGCUAGGUGAGGUAGAUGAAAGUUGCCUCUUCAAGACCCAGGCAAGGUGGCUUCAAAUAGGCAACACCUAGGUGAUCGCCUUGGGAUAAGGUGCAACACAUAGAGGUGAUCGCUUUUGACCAUAAGUUAAAAUUAAACAUACUUGGAUUAUAAUUUCAUUCAAUCUAACAUUGGAUUAACCAAAAUAUAAGAUGAAAUAUUAUAUUAUCAAUCAUAGAGAUAAUGAGAUGGAG